UUUUUAUUCGCUCGUAUAUUUAUCCGUAAAGAAGUACAAUAUUCAUCCCUAAUUUGACGGAGGUUCCGGGGAUCGCGAAUCUCAUCUCCGACGCUGCCACUUCAUCUCCAUCGGUAGGCAGUUAAUCCUUCCUCCAUCUACCGCCGGCCGCCCGACCAUCUCCUUCCACCAUUUCUCACCUCAUCUUCCCCGACUCUGAUUCCCCGAUCAGAUUUGGACGUCGCCUCCCUCGUCUCAUGGAAGAAGGCAAACAAGGGAGCUUGAAGCCAGACGCCACCAUCAUCUCCAUCGCCGGCCUCCACUGCACCAUCCACAUCUUACUCUUUGGGUUAGAAGAGGAGGAACCGAAGCCUUCCCCUUCCCCUCUUCGGGUUAGAAGAGAGGAAGCUCCUUCAUCCUUCAUCAUCAGGCCAUCUUCCUAUUCGGGUUAGAAGGGAAGAUCCGGCAGCCCCUUCCCCUCUUCGGGUUAGAAGAGGAGAAGCCCCUUCAUCAUCCGGAGAUUCAGCUCCUCUUCCCGUCAGCCCUCUUCUGGCGAUUCCACGGCCACCUCUCCUUUUCAGGUUAGAAGAGAAGAGCUCUCCACUUCUGGGAAUCAUUUCCUCAUUCCGGCAAUCCCACAACUCCGGCUUCAUCAAAUCCAGCCACAUAUCAUCCAUUCGGCAGUUCCGGGCAGCAGCACCUUAGUGAUGCGUUGGUUUGUUUUCUUUUGUGUAUGUCUUGUUGAUUGUUGAAUUGUAACGAAGUUAUCCUCCCUUGUUUUAGUUUGCAUGCAUUAGGGUUGAAUUACUUGAUUCUCACUAUGUUUUGAAGAAUGCCUCUUACAUUCUUGUUACUUGUAUUUGUGUCAAUGCAUUUCAAUUCAUUUCAUUCCAGCUAUGUUUUUGUUUAAUUGGAUGUUUGUUCUUCAUUUGGAUGUCAUUAGGUUAGAUUAGUUAGUUUUUGUUAAUUGUCUUAUGUUUCAUUUCAUGCUUAGUUUCAUUUAACGUUUGCUUUGUGUUUUUCUUUAAUUUCCUUUCAAUUAUAGUUUACAGUCACACUGUCUUUUAUUUAUUAGGGUUAGAUUUCAUUACAUGCAUUGCUCUUUAUUUGUUCGGUUUAGUCCCAAAACCCAAACCUACAUUUCCAUAACAAAAAAAAGCAAUAAAAUUGGAUCCUAAGUUUACCAUUAUAUUCCUUGUGAGAGACGAACUGAGUCAUCUCUAUGCUAUAUUAGUGUAGAGUUCGGUAAAUGAAUUGUGUUUGAUAUCGUGGUACGACAUGCUGAUUAUCAAUGGCUCUGUUGCAGGGGAGUUAUAAUGGUGUUUGAUAAAUCUUAGGAUUGUUUUUCUAUUCUUCACAAAAAUUUGAAAAAAAAAUUGUCAGGGCUUAAUUUUAUUAUAUCCAUGUGCUUUGUUCUGUAUGUUUUGUGUCUUGUAAUUUUGUUUGUUUCAGUGUUUCAUGAUAAGAAUAGGAACUUUCUUUUGUGUGCCAUGGAUGUAUACUAUCAGCAGGGACUUCUUGCCUCAGAUCUUGUAGACAAUAUGGUGAACAAUAAUGGCAAAAAUCUCAAGGAGUUUUGGGUGCUAGAUGUGACUUAUCAAUCCUUCUGCAUCCAGUAUUCUGAGUUAGAUGCGGACUUAAAAUUAUGGCGAAUUCUAUAUUUGUUAUCAAAACUUGAUGGUCUUGAUAGAGGAUCCUAUUAGGUAUCUGCAGAAAUUUCAUAUGGUGUGCUAUACCAUGAAGCCGCAUGGCAUAUCAAAAGAAGACAUCAAACUUCGGGAAUUCCCAUUUUCACUGGUAGAUUUAGCAAAAUAUUUGUUGUACGGUCUUCCCUCUGGUUCUAUAACUAGCUGGUAUGAAAUGAAGAGGUCAUUCUUGGAGAAGUUCUUUACGGCAUCGAGGAUUGUAGCUAUUAGGAAGAGCAUAUGUGGGAUCCAAUAACUUUCAAGGGAGACUUUAUACGAGUAUUGAAAUAUGAUUGAUGUAGCUAGUGGAGGGACUCUAAUCAACAAAACUCCUACUCAGGCUAGAGAACUCAUAGAGAUCAUGGCUGUUAAUUCACAACAAUUUGGAAACAGACAAAUGGUUGUCAGAAAUGUUAAUGAGGCCUAUGUUUCAAGUAUCUAGCAGUCACAGUACUACCAAUUCUAACAGUAUGGCAUGUACGAUCCAGUUCCCAAUACUCAUAUUCGUGAUUGAAGAGAGGAUCAAAAUUUCAAGUAUGGGACACAGAACAACAGAAUGCAUAGUUUUUCCAACAUAUCAAACUCCAUUUGGAUUUCAGAACAACCCAGUUUCAAACAAGUCACAGCAAGUCUAGCCGUCCAAACCAAAGUCGUCUACAUAGAAAUUGGAGGAGCAUAUGCAACAACAAAUUUCACAACAAAUUUCAGCACAAAUGGAACAACAACAAGUUAAUCUGCAGCAAUAUCAACAGAGAAAUGAUGUGAUUGUUCAGAGCUUGGAGCGAUAGAUGGAUCAGAUUACAUCUUCACUUAGCCAACUACAAGCAACUUCCUUCAGAAACCAUUCAUAAGGUAUCAACAUGCUUGAAGAGAGGGAUUGUAGAGUCAGUAAUAUUCUUAUAUUGGAUUCUUCUACUAUACAAGACUCCUCUGAUUCUUUGUGUCAGGAUGAUGAAGUUGUAACUGAUGGCAAUUUUGAUGGUGAUAGUGAUGCAUGCAAAAAUCUAGAUGAUAUUGUGUGUAUAUAUAUAUAUAUAUAUAUAUAUAUAUUUUGUUGA